rnacentral:rRNA from 1 species
AAUGAACGCUGGCGGCGUGCCUAAUACAUGCAAGUCGAGCGAACGGACGAGAAGCUUGCUUCUCUGAUGUUAGCGGCGGACGGGUGAGUAACACGUGGAUAACCUACCUAUAAGACUGGGAUAACUUCGGGAAACCGGAGCUAAUACCGGAUAAUAUCUUGAACCGCAUGGUUCAAAAGUGAAAGACGGUCUUGCUGUCACUUAUAGAUGGAUCCGCGCUGCAUUAGCUAGUUGGUAAGGUAACGGCUUACCAAGGCAACGAUGCAUAGCCGACCUGAGAGGGUGAUCGGCCACACUGGAACUGAGACACGGUCCAGACUCCUACGGGAGGCAGCAGUAGGGAAUCUUCCGCAAUGGGCGAAAGCCUGACGGAGCAACGCCGCGUGAGUGAUGAAGGUCUUCGGAUCGUAAAACUCUGUUAUUAGGGAAGAACAUAUGUGUAAGUAACUGUGCACAUCUUGACGGUACCUAAUCAGAAAGCCACGGCUAACUACGUG